GAGGGCGAUCGCGGAGUCACUGAAUGAAGUCCUCCGUUUAUUUCGGAGGUGCUGACCCGCAGCGAGGCAGAUAUUACUAAGUGACAUAUUUGAUAUGGCGACGACAACAGCAUGUCGUAGAAGGAGAUAACAGGUGGAGCCAACGACCCACUAAGACUCACGUAUCUACAACUACAUCCCCGAGCGGCAGUCAAACGGAGGCGUGAAUGCAAGAUGCCAGCGGAAUGAUCGGCCGGACAGAGGCUAGGGCUGCUUCCUUCCCACCGCGUCCNN
rnacentral:lncRNA from 1 species